UACGUAGGGGGCGAGCGUUGUCCGGAUUUAUUGGGCGUAAAGAGCGUGUAGGCGGCCAGGUAGGUCCGUUGUGAAAACUCGAGGCUCAACCUCGAGACGUCGGCGGAAACCCUCUGGCUAGAGUCCGGAAGAGGAGAGUGGAAUUCCAGGUGUAGCGGUGAAAUGCGUAGAUAUCUGGAGGAACACCGGUGGCGAAGGCGGCAUUCUGGACCGACAUUGACGCUGAGGAGCGAAAGCCAGGGGAGCAAACGGG
rnacentral:rRNA from 1 species